rnacentral:tRNA from 1 species
AAGCAAGAAACUAUUAGUAAUACGGUUUCGGCCCGUACAAAGGCUUAAAUAUAGCCCUUGCUUU